rnacentral:rRNA from 1 species
GAUGAACGCUGGCGGCGUGCCUAAUACAUGCAAGUCGAGCGAACGGACGAGAAGCUUGCUUCUCUGAUGUUAGCGGCGGACGGGUGAGUAACACGUGGAUAACCUACCUAUAAGACUGGGAUAACUUCGGGAAACCGGAGCUAAUACCGGAUAAUAUUUUGAACCGCAUGGUUCAAAAGUGAAAGACGGUCUUGCUGUCACUUAUAGAUGGAUCCGCGCUGCAUUAGCUAGUUGGUAAGGUAACGGCUUACCAAGGCAACGAUGCAUAGCCGACCUGAGAGGGUGAUCGGCCCCACUGGAACUGAGACACGGUCCAGACUCCUACGGGAGGCAGCAGUAGGUAAUCUUCCGCAAUGGGCGAAAGCCUGACGGAGCAACGCCGCGUGAGUGAUGAAGGUCUUCGGAUCGUAAAACUCUGUUAUUAGGGAAGAACAUAUGUGUAAGUAACUGUGCACAUCUUGACGGUACCUAAUCAGAAAGCCACGGCUAACUACGU